rnacentral:rRNA from 1 species
UGGGGAAUAUUGCGCAAUGGGGGGAACCCUGACGCAGCCAUGCCGCGUGAAUGAAGAAGGCCUUAGGGUUGUAAAGUUCUUUCGGUAUUGAGGAAGGUUGAUGUGUUAAUAGCACAUCAAAUUGACGUUAAAUACAGAAGAAGCACCGGCUAACUCCGUGCCAGCAGCCGCGGUAAUACGGAGGGUGCGAGCGUUAAUCGGAAUAACUGGGCGUAAAGGGCACGCAGGCGGUUAUUUAAGUGAGGUGUGAAAGCCCCGGGCUUAACCUGGGAAUUGCAUUUCAGACUGGGUAACUAGAGUACUUUAGGGAGGGGUAGAAUUCCACGUGUAGCGGUGAAAUGCGUAGAGAUGUGGAGGAAUACCGAAGGCGAAGGCAGCCCCUUGGGAAUGUACUGACGCUCAUGUGCGAAAGCGUGGGGAGCAAACAGGAUUAGAUACCCUGGUAGUCCACGCUGUAAACGCUGUCGAUUUGGGGGUUGNNUUUAACUCUGGCGCCCGUAGCUAACGUGAUAAAUCGACCGCCUGGGGAGUACGGCCGCAAGNUUA